rnacentral:lncRNA from 1 species
UGUCUCCCCACGUCUCCACUGAUACCCUGGGGGUGAACUGGUUAUUCUCUCUGGGUGCUGGUGAAAGUCCUGGCUUUCCACUAGGCCUCCUCUGAUGCUGCUCAGUGUGGAGCAGAAGGAGGGCCUUGUCACCGACAGGCAGAAGUGGAAGUGCCGGCCUCUGAUGUGUUCUCCGUCAACACGGCUGCCCAACAGUGAUAAUAGUGUCUGCUCCCUCCUCCAUCUCCCUUCCCACAACCCUUGAGAGUGUGAACAAGUCUGGGUGCUUCAUCACGGCACUGCAAGGGCAGAAAUCAAGGUUUUCCACUCAACUUCUGCUGGUCUGGGGACAGGAAAAUCGUCCUCCGCUAAGACAAGAAGGCAGGCAGUGGUGAGAGGCCGUUGGUGUGUUUGAGAAGACGGGUGCGGGAGGAACUCCGAAGGCCACGUUUAUGUGUGAUGCACCUGCUCCUGCUCUGCCUUCUGCCAUGAGUGGAAGCUUCCUGAGGCCUCACCAGAAGCAGAUGCUGCUCUCUUUUCUAUACAGCCUGCACAACCAUGAGCCAAUUAAACCUCUUUUCUUUAUAAAUUAUCCAAGCUCAAGUAUACCUUUGUAGUAAUGCAAAUGGACUAAUGCACUGUUCAAAAGAAAUCCGGUUGAAACUGGGUUUUGCAUAACUAGAUCUCUGACCUCUUGUUCUUUUGGGAUUGGGGAGGGCCAGCCUGCUCACUUGGGGACCUCCUCCUGACAGACUAGGUCUCAACACAGUGGAGAUUUCCAGCCCAAACCUGUAUUAAUCCUCUCCCUCCUGUUGAAUGUUUCUUUCAUGGGAGCUGAGCUGCAGGAUUAGAGCUCAUGAUAAGCCAUUCCAAAGUGUUUUAUGGAAACCAUGAGCUCUCUGGCAGAUUCCCUGCAGGCUUAGGAAUGAAGGAUCCUCCUCACAGUUGUUGUGUGUCUAUACCUCAGAUGCCUGUCACAAAACCCAAGAGGGUCCCAGUGAAUGGAAGAAAGGCUUCCCGAGGUGAUUUCCUUACUAUAAGACAGACCCUGCACCAGGCUGGAUUCUUUCUUUUUUUUGCCAUGCCACAAUGUCGGGAGAGGAGCUGAAGGUCAUACCCUCACACAGGUAGGAGGGUCUAAGUCAAGCCUAUUUUGGAAGGCAAUGUGCUCACAGAAACAUCAUCCAACUUUGAGGUCAAGGCGAGAGGCUGGAAGAAGGUGCCAAGAAUGACAGAUUCUGCUCCGGUGUCAAGGACAGAAGCUGCAUAUUCCACUGUGAAGGCCACAGCUUUUUCAUAAGAAAAGUGCAAUUUACUGAUGAUCAAAUAGUUCAUUUAAGAGAUUCCAGUGAGGAGUGGAAGAUGAAUUGAAGGAGAUAUUAGAGAUGACAUUCAUGAAUUGAACAGAGGAGUUACCCAGAUGAUCCCUGAGAUAUCUUAUAAACCCCAGAUUCUAUGACUGUAUGACUUUUAUCUGAAAUGACACGAGCUGAAGUAGGCGAUUCACACUUUAGAUGUUUCAGGUUCAACUCUGCUUCAGACAAUACUGGGAAUGAAUAAAAAGAAUCUGUAUUAUUAAACAACUCCAGGUGUCACCCAGUUCAUCCCUUGGUUCCAAGGAAACAACAGACAUAUAACUAAUUGACCCAUCUUGUUAGGAACAAUUCAUUGUCCUCAUGGUCCUAUCCAGUGGUGCUCAUUCUCUGCUCUGCAGUGGAAUCACUUAUGAGCUUUUUAAAAAUACAGACACUUUUUCCCACCCCUAGAGCUACUGGGUCAGAAUCUCUGAGGUUGGGUUCAAGGAUGUAAUUUUGUAAAAUUCCUACAGGAGAUCCCAGUGCACCAAGACUGGGAACCACCUCUGUCAUCUGGAUCCUCCUGCUACAGAGCCAUGCUGUGAGGCCCCAGGGCCGCUGCCGUGAUUUUCUGCAGAUGGUCCUGUGUCUGCCUUCUGCAGCGGCUCCCCUCAAAUGCCAUAGAGCUAGAAAGUAAAGGCCAAUGGCCUGGUACCCAAAAGUGAUUUAGUGGAACAAGAGGUAGUUAGUCGGGCUAAAUAUGUGUCAGAGACAAAGGGGGCACAGCACAGCAGAGUGAGGUAAGGACAGGGAGAGUCCAGGGUCUGGGUCCGCCUUGGACCUCUGCCUUGUUUGAUUGGACAUAUAUCUGGAGAAAAUGCAGGCACCAACUCAAAGCAGGCUUGCAUGGAACUGCACUCUGCAAACCUGGCUCAUUUGAUGCUAUGUUAUUUUUUAAAUAGGUGGAAAAGUGUGGCCCCUGUUUCAAGAAGGAAACUCCUUCCUGAGUUCAGAGACCAUGGCCCAGGAGGGCCUGUGUUCUGUCUGUGGAGUUCGGAGGUGGCUGGAGGCAAAUGUUUUAUUUUUUGCUUAAAACCUCAUGGAGCAGCAUGCCAGUUUUUACUCAUGAAAAUGGAAAUAAAAACGGAGAGAGAUGUAAGGGUUAAUUAAAGAAGCUGAGAAAACUGCCUGAUACACUAAUUCUGUUGAGUUACCGGCCACAAUUAAAGGUUUCAUUGAAAAGACCAGAGAAAAACUGCUUACGAAGCUUGCCCGG